rnacentral:rRNA from 1 species
GACGAACGCUGGCGGCGUGCUUAACACAUGCCAGUCGAACGGAAAGGCCCUGCUUUUGUGGGGUGCUCGAGUGGCGAACGGGUGAGUAACACGUGAGUAACCUGCCCUGGACUUUGGGAUAACUUCAGGAAACUGGGGCUAAUACCGGAUAGGAGCUCCUGCGGCAUGGUGGGGGUUGGAAAGUUUCGGCGGUUGGGGAUGGACUCGCGGCUUAUCAGCUUGUUGGUGGGGUAGUGGCUUACCAAGGCUUUGACGGGUAGCCGGCCUGAGAGGGUGACCGGCCACAUUGGGACUGAGAUACGGACCAGACUCCUACGGGAGGCAGCAGUGGGGAAUAUUGCACAAUGGGCGGAAGCCUGAUGCAGCAACGCCGCGUGCGGGAUGACGGCCUUCGGGUUGUAAACCGCUUUCGCCUGUGACGAAGCGUGAGUGACGGUAAUGGGUAAAGAAGCACCGGCUAACUACGUG